UUUUCAGGAUUAGCAACAAACAAUUUAAAAACAUGAAAAGCUUCAAAUUGAAUGUUUUUACUCUUAUCUCUCAGCAGAAUCAUCAUUAGUUUCAGAUUCUCAGCAGAACUAAUAUAGCGUGUCAUGACUGAACGGUUAGCACGAUUAAGAAGAAUUUCCCCUAAAAGCUUUAAAGAUUGACGUUUGGUAACAUAAUUUUCAGAUUUCAAAAGGACAGUGUAUUGCUUAAAAAACUCGUCAAAAUGGUAUGAAAUAAACUCAGCAACUUGGGAUUUAUGAUUAAGAAGAAUAGACUGAUUAAAGUUAGUAAAUGCAAAACUAGCGGGAGUAUAUAAAAACAUUGCAACGACAGAAGUUUUAUUUGGGGAUAAUACGUACCUUAAAAGUCGAAAACGCAUCACUCGCCAUAUCAAAACUAGAGGCUUGUAUCAAACUAAAAAAUGUCCAAAAAUCUCGUGAGUUUAAAAGUACCUCAUUAAGGGCUUCAUGACGGGAACACUCACGAAGGAUAGAACCAGCAGUAAAAGCUACUUCCUGGUAUCGAUAGUAUGAGACCAAUACUGGAAAGAUUUGCGGGUGCGCAAGCAUGUAGUCAACAGUGGGAUAUCUCGAUGCUACAUGCCUCCUAAGUAAAGCGCUAAAUAUUAGUCCUGUAUCCUUUUUAGACUCAAACUCCAAUUUCGGUAAAUAUCGAACGAGUAAAAAAGGUAAAUUCGACUGGUAAAUUUGAAAAGAUAAGUCUGAUACGAGAUCAGCAUCAGGCUCUACUUCAGCUGUCCCACACAAUGAAACCCGUAAAUUCUGUAAACAUUUGGAAACUUCCUCAAAGGACUGUUUACGUUAGUCAUCUAAACGAACAAAAACAACAAUUACUAAUAAUUAAUACCUUCUUUUUAUCAUUGUUUAUUUCCAACUUUGGGAGAUUAUCACAUAAGCAGCGAACAACAUCUUGGGUUGAUUUUGGUCGUUUAUUGAACAGAAACGACAUGCGGAAUUAUGGAAUUCGGUUUCUCUAAAAACUUAUGGCAUAUGACAGGGUAAGUAAAGUGGGUGCCAGGCGAUGGUCCACAGUGGGGGUCUAUUUUCAUAUUCAGUUGAAUACUAUUAAGGUACACUUCUUGAGUAUUCAAAUUACCUUUACUUAUACCUGAAGUGAUACCAAUGUGGGGGUUGUUACAUCUCGAUUAUACAUAAGUAAUCAAGUAUUGAAACGCAGGUGCAUUUAGAUGAUAGCAAGUGUACUAAGUAGA